CCCCGCCUCUGCCAUCGCCCAGCCCACCCAGCCGUCGUCCGUCCCGUGCUGUGCCGUGCCCCGAUGUCGUGCACCUUGAUUUCGUGAUUCGUCGCGCACCUCUUGCUCUUCGCCAGACUCGCGCGGGCAUGAGACGGGUCGUCGCAUCGCAGCAGUCAUGAGUUCCGAGGAUACAACUGACAAUGCGACAGCAGCCUGUGCUGCGGACAGUGUAACUAAUUGCUCCGACGUAGCUGCGGAAAGCAUUGGAAAGAAUUGGGUCCAAUUCGAGGAGGAGACGGACCAUCCUGAGGAGACCAUCAACGCCGCCAAGAGAAAAGUAGCCGCCAAUAGUAGCGGUGCACCCGCCGUGAUAAAGCCAGAGUCGGUCACUGUACAGGUCGACAAAAUCGGCAAGAGUAUCGAUAGUCCGUCUGAUAUUAAUGAUAGGAAAACCAAUGAGUACAGAGGUGCUGUGAUUGCAACCGAAUCCGUCCAAAUUAACUUAGAUAGAUCAGGUUUAAGUCGUUCGAUUACGUCCGAGACGCCGGAUCUCAAGUUACCGUCCGAUGCGGUUCGUGCGUCAGAGGCAGCGGCCAAGAGUGCCUCCCUGAAGACGAUCGAUCUGCGGGACGUGUCCAACGGGAGGAACGCGUCCAGUAAUGUGAUCAGUACGUCUAUCGGAAAUAUCAGACAGGGUUUCGCCAAUGGUGACACUAUCGUUACUCUCCUGCCAGUGAAUACCAAGUGGCCAUGGAUUACCCCGGCCAGAUUCAGACCGGAAUUGGUACCGGAGGAAUUGAUGGCACAAGGACUAACCCUUACAGUGGAAGAUUAUGUCCACAUAAUGGAAUUACUUGUGAAUGAUGUGCGCUUCAACAUGUAUAACAUAUGCUACAAGAGGAUCCUCGUUCUUUGGAUAUUUACCGCCUUCGUUGUGCUGCUCGGUCUAUUGUUCUCCGGUGUGACUGGUCUUACGUUAUUUGGACUCGGUGUUAUGUGGUUAGUUCUGAAUGCAGCCGCAAUAUUCUUCUGCAUGUUCAUCAAGAUAAAGCUCAAUCACAACCUUGAGAAAUGUAUGGCUCAAGUUAAUAAACAUUUAUUAAGGCAUAAAAUAUUGCUGGGAUUGGACGAUAGAGGGAAAAUCUCCUGCCACAAAGUCAACCUGUGUUUCAUAUACUUUGAUACUACAGAUUGCAUUAAAAAGCUACAAGAAGUAAUAGAACGGGAAGAACGCGAAGGUAGAGUAAUUGGUGGCGAUGAUGCAAGCGAUUUAAGUCGACAACGAGAAUUGCAACAGCGUAUGGACAUCGACGACGGUGACAUUGUUAUACAAGGCAGCACCACCACAAGAAUCUCCCGUAAACAGCCGGACGGAAGAUGCUGAAUCUCAGUAUAUUACCUCAUCCACAUAUCAUCAGCACAUAAUAAUAAUCUCUAAUAUUAUGGUAUCCACCAGGAUUUACAUGGUGUGCCUACCUUAGUGAACCUGUAGGACGAUUUGAUAUGGUACCAAGUUACCAAUAGUUUCUAUUCUUAAAAAUCAUGUUAAUGUAGUUUUGUUUAAAUUUGAAUUUACAUGCGUACAGAUGAGCUAUAUCAAAACAAGACAUACUGUUAUAUAUGUGUAUGUAUGUAUAUAUGUAUGUGUGUGUAUAUACAUAUAUACACACAUAGAGAAAAAUAUUUGUGCGUUAAUUUUAAUAUUUUUAUUAUAUAUUUUUUGUUCGCCUAUUCUUUUAGAAUAGCUAUUAUGCGACAGUUAUAUUGUUAUCAGAUUUUAUAUAAGUCUAUAUAUUUUUUAUAACUAUAUUCUUUGAUAUAUUACUGAUAGCUGAUCUGUUCUCUUGAUCUUUUGAUGAUUUUUUAAAUAUUAUAUUUAAUAUAUUGCUCAGUGACUUACAAUUAUUUAGUAAUUAAAAUUAUUGUUCAGAGUCGUUUGAUCUCUAUUCGUAGAAAUAACGAAAUAAUUAUCUGAAAUAGUUGUGCGCACGACACAGUAUUACGAGAUAAAAAUAUCAUUAAUUGUACUAAUAUUUUUGUUGUACAAGAUAUAAAUUACAUAUAUGUAAAGAUAGCCAUGUGUUUAACAGACAGCACUCGAUAAUCUGUUAUUCAAAGAGUUAUAAAAGAAUUUCAAAUAAAAGAGCGAGCAAUUUCGUAAGAAAACUAUAAUAUAAGCGAUAGAGAAAAUAUUAAAAAAAUUUAUAACAAUUCUCUCCUUUUUACUAUAUCAUUCAAUUAAAUCAGUUCAAUUUUUAACAACUCUUUGAAUAAUUGAGGCUAUCGUUACAGUUCCUCUUAUAAUUAAGCUACUUUACAUAUCUUUUUAAUACAUAAAAAUACAAUAUAAGAAUAACUUGUAAGUUUUUACAUGCAAGAAGCGAAAGGAAAUCAAAUCUUUAUAAAUGUUAUCCAAAACGCGAUGGAUAAUAGUUAUUGUAGCAUAUUGUAUGCUACUACAAGUAGUGCUAGACAUUGAAUUGUUAUUGUGCCUUGUCAUUAAAUAUCAUUAGGAUUGUUCUAUGAAAUACCAUUAAAUGAACGUAUCAAUCUAUGUAUUUAUGUACUGUUUAGUGUACCAGUGCACACGAGCAUGCGUACGCAACGCACAUAUUCAAUGUUAAGAAUAUAAAAAGUUAUUAUGAUAGAGAUUUUAUCAUAAAAUAUACACAAUAUCAGGGUACAAUUAUUUAAUGUAUAAGUACAUGUUUUUUCAAUCAACAGUAUAUUAAAUUUAUUUGCAAUAAAUUAUCAAUUCAAAAUGUAUUUCUUACAACAGAUGAAUUUGUCUAUUUUAUGUAAGUGGGAGAUCUAAUAAAUAAACUCCAAAAAAAAGAAA
rnacentral:misc_RNA from 1 species